rnacentral:misc_RNA from 1 species
GCCACCACCACCAACUCAACCUCAACAAACUGAACUGAAGUUGACUAUGGAAUCCAUGAUGAAAGGCUUCCUAGCAGCCCAACAACAGCAGAAUGAAAUGAUCAAGCAGCUAGCUUCCAGAAUGGACCAACUUGCCACCCACAAUAAGAUGCUUGAAAAUCAAAUUGCUCAGCAGGCAGGUUCUUCGAGCAAGACUACUGGUAAGCUACCUAGUCAACCGGAGAUGAACCCAAAGGAGCAUUAUAAGGCAGUUACAUUGACGAG